AUGCACGCUGGCGGCGUGCCUAAUACAUGCAAGUCGAGCGAACAGAUGAGGAGCUUGCUCCUCUGACGUUAGCGGCGGACGGGUGAGUAACACGUGGAUAACCUACCUAUAAGACUGGGAUAACUUCGGGAUACCGGAGCUAAUACCGGAUAAUAUAUUGAACCGCAUGGUUCAAUAGUGAAAGACGGUUUUGCUGUCACUUAUAGAUGGAUCCGCGCCGCAUUAGCUAGUUGGUAAGGUAACGGCUUACCAAGGCAACGAUGCGUAGCCGACCUGAGAGGGUGAUCGGCCACACUGGAACUGAGACACGGUCCAGACUCCUACGGGAGGCAGCAGUAGGGAAUCUUCCGCAAUGGGCGAAAGCCUGACGGAGCAACGCCGCGUGAGUGAUGAAGGUCUUCGGAUCGUAAAACUCUGUUAUUAGGGAAGAACAAAUGUGUAAGUAACUAUGCACGUCUUGACGGUACCUAAUCAGAAAGCCACGGCUAACUACGUG
rnacentral:rRNA from 1 species